GUACACGCUGUGACUAGCAUAUCAAUAAGCGGAGGAAAAGAAACUAACAAGGAUUCCCCUAGUAACGGCGAGUGAAGCGGGAAGAGCUCAAAUUUGAAAUCUUAAAGGGUUUCCCUUUACGGAAUUGUAGUUUAAAGAAGUGUUUUCUGUUGAGGUUUUGGUAAAAGUUCUUUGGAAUAGGACAUCAUAGAGGGUGAGAAUCCCGUAUUUGACCUUUACUUUCAACUUUGUGAUACACUUUCAAAGAGUCGGAUUGUUUGGGAAUGCAGUCCAAAAUGGGUGGUAAAUUUCAUCUAAAGCUAAAUAUUGGCGAGAGACCGAUAGCGAACAAGUACCGUGAGGGAAAGAUGAAAAGAACUUUGAAAAGAGAGUUAAACAGUACGUGAAAUUGUCAAAAGGGAAGCGUUUGACACCAGUGUUGUUUUUCUGAAAAUCAAUUAAAGAACUGUUUAUGCUAAGUUGUUUAGGACUUUAUCAGCUAUCUGUUUAGUUUUGAGCUUUUCUUUAAUGCACUUUUCAGUUAACAAGUCAACAUCAAUUUCUUUUGCUGUAAAAAAGCUCGAGGAAGGUGGCUUGAGAUUCGUCUUAAGUGUUUAUAGCCUCUUGCCUAUGCAGUCGGAGAGAUUGAGGUCUGCAGCGUAGAUCCUUCAGGGCUAAAUGCAUUUGUGCUAAGUUAUAGCAUUUUAUAGACAACUUGUUGACUAUGAUUUGUCUUGUAGCUUACUCGCUUAUGUUAUUUUACCUACGCUUAGGAUGUUGAGUCGUAGAGCACGCAG
rnacentral:rRNA from 1 species